GCUCGCAACUUCUUAUCAUUCUUUAGGCCGCUAUAUCGCGUACGACCUUUCGGCGUCAUAUCCAGCUGCCGUCGAGUUCUGCACAGAAGGCCCCGUUGACGACGUUACCGUCGCCAUUGCCGUUCGUCGGCGAGCGACCGAUCGCGCGCCGUAUUUCGCGGUUCGCGCCUAGGUUCGAAAAAAAUAUUAUAAACCAUUCCGAACGCGUGAUCC